AUGUGGCUCUGUGGCGCAAUGGAUA
rnacentral:piRNA from 2 species